GAGACACUGACUUAUUCGUGUGCAGAUCUAGAUGCCAACCAUUAGGCAUGAUUCGAUUCUAGAAGAUCCUGAUGGUGACACCUCACAACCACAACACAUCUCGGACUACUACCAUGUCAGUCUCAAGAAUGUGAUGAUAACAUGACCAUUCAAAUUGGUGAAGUACUUCAGAUGCAAAUUGAGGUUCAGAGAUAGUUAAAUGAACAACUUGAGAAAUGGUCAUUUGUUAAAUCUGAGCAGAAAAGAUCGGAAAUCCAAGGGCUUAUGGAAUUGGUAUUGCAAAGAUCUUCAUGUGAUUCGGAUCCUUAUAAGGAAAGAUAAUUUAUAUACAUGAGGGAGCCACCUAUUGAUUCUUUUGAUGUCUCUACAUGUGGCCUUGAUUUGCUGGAUGACAUCUUGUUGGGUUAUAAAGCUGAAUAUCCAAUGAAUAUUGGCAUUACAGUAGACGCAUUGAAAAUAUAUGCUAAAAUAUUAUGAAUGUUC